rnacentral:rRNA from 1 species
UACAGAGGGUGCAAGCGUUAAUCGGAAUUACUGGGCGUAAAGCGUGCGUAGACGGUUGCGUAAGUCAGAUGUGAAAGCCCCGGGCUCAACCUGGGAAUUGCAUUUGAGACUGCGUAGCUAGGGUGCGGAAGAGGGAAGCGGAAUUUCCGGUGUAGCGGUGAAAUGCGUAGAUAUCGGAAGGAACACCAGUGGCGAAAGCGGCUUCUUGGCCUGUUCUUGACGCUGAGGCGCGAAAGCUGGGGGAGCAAACGGG